rnacentral:rRNA from 1 species
UACAGAGGGUGCGAGCGUUAAUCGGAAUUACUGGGCGUAAAGCGCACGUAGGCGGCUUGGUAUGUCGGGUGUGAAAUCCCCGGGCUCAACCUGGGAACUGCAUCCGAAACUGCCUUGCUAGAGUAUGGGAGAGGGAAGUGGAAUUUCCGGUGUAGCGGUGAAAUGCGUAGAUAUCGGAAGGAACAUCAGUGGCGAAGGCGACUUCCUGGACCAAUACUGACGAUCAGGUGCGAAAGCGUGGGGAGCAAACAGG